UGGAAACAGAAAGAAUGUGAGGUCCUGAACGGAGAGGAGAGACUGAAUGUCAUGGAAUCCUGUCUUCUGGAAAUGACAUGGUUGCUAUACUCGUGAAUUCACAGCAGCUGUGCUUACCUACAUAAUAUCUGCACAUGACUGGGCCUAUCAACAUACUAUCCCAGAGGGAGGAAGAUCUCAUGAGGCCCCACCCCUCACUGAAGAGCUGUAGGGUCUUAUGGCCUGGAACUUGCCAUACACAUGAAGAAGGCCUUGAACUUAGAGACCCACCUGCCUCUACUAGGAUUGCUAAGAUUAGUCUGUAUUAUAAGAACAUGUCAAACUGUCAACAACUCACAGCAAUGACAACAGAGAACAAAGCUGCCUGAGACUACCUGAGAAGUGAAAGGAUUAAAAAUCAAAACCAAAUGGUCUGGUAUGACAAGAUGUACAAAUGUCAAAACAAGUUUAACCUUUCAUUAAUA